AAAAAAAAGGCCCCAUAUUUACAAGUCAUACUCUUGUACCAAACAGCUUCUUUCCCCCUAAUCUUUUUAUCGCUUAUCGUUAAGAAGACAAGGAGAAGAUAACCCUAACUUCUUAGGUCAUGUCUGGGAUGUACGGUCAAGACGGCGAAUCUGCUCCUCCAUCUUAUGGUGGUUAUGGAGGUGGCAGCGGUGGUGGUUUUGGUGUUGGCGGCGGCGGCGGAGGUGGAGGAUAUGGAGGGGCGAGUGGUGGAGUCGGCCGUGGAAGUUAUGGCGGUAGAGGAGGCGGCGGCAGAGGAUAUGGUGGUGGUGGUGGAGGAUAUCAAGGAGGAGAUCGUGGAGGAAGAGGCGGUGGAGGUGGUGGCAGAGGAGGUGGCCGAGGUGGGAGCGGAAGGGACGGUGAUUGGCUGUGCCCUAAUCCAAGCUGUGGCAAUUUGAACUUUGCAAGAAGAGUCGAGUGUAACAAAUGCGGCACUCCCUCCCCUGCUGGUGCCAACAAUGAUCGUGGAAAUGGUGCUGGAGGAGGUUUUAACAAAGGAGGUAGUGGUGGAGGAUAUGGUGGUAACAGAGGGGGCAGAGGUGGUAAUUAUGAUGGUAAUAGAAGCAACAAUUACAAUGAUGGAGGCAGAGGUGGUAAUUAUGA
rnacentral:misc_RNA from 1 species